ACUGGAAAGCCACAGGGAAAGAUAGACCAGUGCACUCUCAAAAGCAGCCUGUAGGUAUGAAGAAGACGUUGGUAUACUAUAGAGGUAGAGCUCCCCAUGGCAUUAGAACCAACUGGGUCAUGCACGAAUACCGCUUAAUCGACUCAUUAUGUGGCACUGCCUCAUCAAGUUUAAAGGAUUCCUAUGCGUUGUGCCGAGUUUUCAAGAAAACCAUGCAAAUUCCCAAACCAAAAGAAGGUGAAAAUGCGAAUGUAAAUAAGGAUGAAAUGUGGGUUUCUGAUGAACAAUUCUUAACAGAUGAUGCAAGUGGGAUUGAAACUUCUAAAGGGAGGGAAAAUGAAGAUGAGAAUUUCAACAAUGAGUAUUUUAAAUUUCCAUCUGAUACUUCUUCCUCAGAUGUCACCCAGGGGACACCAUUGGAAAAUGCAGUAGCCGAUGAUUCACAAGCUCCAUUUGCCUCGGAUGAAGCCAAUAGCUCAGCUAACAUGUAUUACGUCGGUGUAGACUUCUCCUCAAAUUUACUUCAGGGUAUGCAGAUCCCAAGCUACAAAAGCCUGCAUUAUCAACUUCCUUACCCACCCUUGGAACUAGAAGACUUCCCACAGAUAAAUAUAGCGGAGACAAAGCCGACAAAGUCUGAAACCAUGGAUGAGUACGCGAUGUAUGACAAUUACAAGGAUUGCAUGAACGGUACAUUAGAAGACAUUUUUUCUUUAUGUUCCUCUCAAGACAAUUCCAUUGCCGUUUCCCAGCAAGACUGAGUACAGUAACAAAGAUUAUUACGUACUUGGCCAGCUUUCUUAAUUUAAUACAUUCAAUUAACUGGGAUUCAUUUGACACAUAGAUAGAGUAUUGUGUUGGGAUCAAUAACCAAAAUGAGUAGAAGGUAUUAUAUUGCCAAACGCAACAAAACUAUAUAUACAGUGUAAUUAAUGUACUUCAAUGGAACGAUAUCAAGGUAUGCCAUCG
rnacentral:misc_RNA from 1 species